UCCCUGGAGGACUAGUGGUUAGGCCACAGUGCACUAGCCACUGUGGCCCAGGUUUGAUUCCCGGCCAGGGAA